GAUGAACGCUAGCGGCAGGCUUAAUACAUGCAAGUCGAGGGGCAGCGCGGGUAGCAAUACCUGGCGGCGACCGGCAAACGGGUGCGGAACACGUACGCAACCUUCCCAAAACUGGGGAAUAGCCCUCCGAAAGGAGGAUUAAUACCCCGUAACAUAACGAAGUGGCAUCACUUUGUUAUUAUAGUUCCGACGGUUUUGGAUGGGCGUGCGCCUGAUUAGGUAGUUGGCGGGGUAACGGCCCACCAAGCCUACGAUCAGUAACUGGUGUGAGAGCACGACCAGUCACACGGGCACUGAGACACGGGCCCGACUCCUACGGGAGGCAGCAGUAAGGAAUAUUGGUCAAUGGACGCAAGUCUGAACCAGCCAUGCCGCGUGAAGGAUGAAGGUCCUCUGGAUUGUAAACUUCUUUUAUAUGGGACGAAAAAAGGGCAUUCUUGCUCACUUGACGGUACCAUAGGAAUAAGCACCGGCUAACUCCGUGCCAGCAGCCGCGGUAAU
rnacentral:rRNA from 1 species